rnacentral:rRNA from 1 species
AGCGAACGCUGGCGGCAGGCCUAACACAUGCAAGUCGAACGAACCUUUCGGGGUUAGUGGCGGACGGGUGAGUAACACGUGGGAACGUGCCUUUAGGUUCGGAAUAACUCAGGAAAACUUGUGCUAAUACCGAAUGUGCCCUUCGGGGGAAAGAUUAAUCGCCUUUAGAGCGGCCCGCGUCUGAUUAGCUAGUUGGUUGAGGUAAUGGCUCACCAAGGCGACGAUCAGUAGCUGGUCUGAGAGGAUGAUCAGCCACAUUGGGACUGAGACACGGCCCAAACUCCUACGGGAGGCAGCAGUGGGGAAUCUUGCGCAAUGGGCGAAAGCCUGACGCAGCCAUGCCGCGUGAAUGAUGAAGGUCUUAGGAUUGUAAAAUUCUUUCACCGGGGACGAUAAUGACGGUACCCGGAGAAGAAGCCCCGGCUAACUUCGU